GAUGAACGCUAGCGGCAGGCUUAACACAUGCAAGUCGAGGGGUAUAGUUCUUCGGAAUUAGAGACCGGCGCACGGGUGCGUAACGCGUAUGCAAUCUACCUUUCACAGAGGGAUAGCCCCAGAGAAAUUUGGAUUAAUACCUCAUAGUAUAGCAGUUUCGCAUGAAACCACCAUUAAAGUCACAACGGCAAAAGAUGAGCAUGCGUCCCAUUAGCUAGUUGGUAAGGUAACGGCUUACCAAGGCUACGAUGGGUAGGGUCCUGAGAGGGAGAUCCCCCACACGUGGUACUGAGACACGGACCAGACUCCUACGGGAGGCAGCAGUGAGGAAUAUUGGACAAUGGGCGCAAGCCUGAUCCAGCCAUGCCGCGUGCAGGAUGACGGUCCUAUGGAUUGUAAACUGCUUUUGUACUAGGAAGAAACCCUUUUCAACGGUUGUGGAAGAUUGACGGUACUGUAAGAAUAAGGAU
rnacentral:rRNA from 1 species